AUUGAACGCUGGCGGCAUGCCUUACACAUGCAAGUCGAACGGUAACAGGUCUUCGGACGCUGACGAGUGGMGAACGGGUGAGUAAUACAUCGGAACGUGCCCAGUCGUGGGGGAUAACUACUSGAAAGAGUAGCUAAUACCGCAUACGAUSUGAGGAUGAAAGCGGGGGACCUUCGGGCCUCGCGCGAUUGGAGCGGCCGAUGGCAGAUUAGGUAGUUGGUGGGAUAAAAGCUUACCAASCCGACGAUCUGUAGCUGGUCUGAGAGGACGACCAGCCACACUGGGACUGAGACACGGCCCAGACUCCUACGGGAGGCAGCAGUGGGGAAUUUUGGACAAUGGGCGAAAGCCUGAUCCAGCAAUGCCGCGUGCAGGAUGAAGGCCUUCGGGUUGUAAACUGCUUUUGUACGGAACGAAAAAGCUUCUCCUAAUACGAGAGGCCCAUGACGGUACCGUAAGAAUAAGCACCG
rnacentral:rRNA from 1 species